CUACGUGCCAGCAGCCGCGGUAAUACGUAGGGUGCGAGCGUUAAUCGGAAUUACUGGGCGUAAAGCGAGCGCAGACGGUUACUUAAGCAGGAUGUGAAAUCCCCGGGCUCAACCUGGGAACUGCAUUCGAAACUGGCAGGCUGGAGUCUUGUAGAGGGGGGUAGAAUUCCAGGUGUAGCGGUGAAAUGCGUAGAGAUCUGGAGGAAUACCGGUGGCGAAGGCAGCCUCCUGGGAUAACACUGACGUUCAUGCCCGAAAGCGUGGGUAGCAAACAGGAUUAGAUACCCUGGUAGUCCACGCCCUAAACGAUGUCGAUUAGCUGUUGGGCAGCAUGACUGCUUAGUAGCGAAGCUAACGCGUGAAAUCGACCGCCUGGGGAGUACGGUCGCAAGAUUAAAACUCAAAGGAAUUGACGGGGACCCGCACAAGCGGUGGAUGAUGUGGAUUAAUUCGAUGCAACGCGAAGAACCUUACCKGUCUUGACAU
rnacentral:rRNA from 1 species